UAAACCCUCUACCUACGGAGUGUCCUAUAGCCUUGGUGAGGUUACAGGUUCAGCUUCCUUUCUCCUGAAUAAGAAUAAGAAACUUGUUUAGCAAGCAUCCAUCGAGACUCCUGGACUGCCUCUCCACACGCUAAUGAGGCAUCUCAGUGCCUUCGGCGAUGAACCUGCCCACCCUGGCUAUUCCUGCCCACCUCCCAUAAACUAUAGAGCCUGACUGACUCCGAAUAAUCUCCCCAAAGCAUACUCACAGGCUGUCGGGAAAACCUGCUUGACAACUCUGCUCCCUUUGUCCUCAUGGGCCAGUAGGUGGCCACCAACCCAGGAAGAAGGGAGAUCCGCAGAUAGCAAGACAAGGGAAGGGACUAUUGCAUUAUAGGAUCCCUUCAGUCCAGCAGAGAGUUGACCAGCACAGACAGGCAAAGCCAAGACCAAGCACAAGGCACAAGAAGCACUGGACUCGGACAAGGGGUACAGUGAUGGAAAAGAAACUCGCUAGACGACAACAGGAAAGUCUUUAGAAGGACUCUAGACCCUCAAUGGUGAAGGGAAAGUGCAACAGAAGAUGGAAGCAGGAAGGCCUGGGGAAGGCAGUGCUUGUUUUACCACGAUGUCACCGGAAGUUAAGCCCAGAUGGCAGCAAGCCUCUGAAAGCUCAUGGGCUUUUAUACCCUGCCUGACAAUCUAACAUGCAAAUGGAGCCCGCCUCUGGCAGGCAGUAGGUAGAAACCAUAGACAGUACCUGGUUUCUCUGCUCUGCAGACGUUAGCUCCUUCUGCAGCAGGUCUACAACCUGGGCACGGCCCAGCAAGGCUUCUUCGUGCUCCUCCAGCUUCCUCUGCAUCACCCUCAAUUUCUGGAAAGAAAACAUUUCAGGCAUAAUUACAGAUAAAUAAGAUGAUUAUUUGCCUACCUUUCAAAAUGUCACAUGUACCUAUAAGGCUAUUUUUCAGAGCAUGGAAGAUAAGAGAUUAAAGAGUGGACAACAGGAUGCCAUGGCCCAUCCAGCAGCAAGAGAAUCUCCAAAAUGCCUUCUCCAGAGUGUGACAACCACCAAACCCAAAUGCAAGCAAGGCCUUGAGUCAGGGCCCCUAAUAUACUCAAGAUAAAAUGACACACACUCACUUUCAAAGUUAUAUAUAGUUCCUGUCUGGUCCCUAAAUAGCACAGGUAACAUGCAUUUCUUACCUACAAAAGAGAGCAAUCUGUAUACGCAAAAACCAUUUCUCUUCUGUUUUCAAUCACUGGAAAGGCACUUGAAAAAUAGCCAUUGAAUAAAUAAUCAAUAUAUAU
rnacentral:lncRNA from 1 species